UUUUCCCCUUUUCAAAUGGGUAAAUAAUAAUUAUAGCUAAUAAAUGAAUGUUUAGAAUUAUAUUCCUGUUUCCUUCCUAACAUAUUGCUAUAUUUGUCCUUUUAUUAAAAUCUUAAGUACAUUUCAUAUAUUCUUUCUGUAUAUUUAAGAAGGUCAGUUUUAUGGUAGAGGAAUAAAGAUGCUUUGUUAUUGUUUUGAUUUUGCACAUGGAAAUGGCUUUCUUACGUUAAUGAAUGUAGUGAAUAAAGUUUAGAAUCUGAGUUUGCCUAUACUUACCAUGCAAGUACACUAAGAUGGUUAUAAUUUUUACAUACUUUGUAGUACAUCAUCAGCAUUUGUUAUACAUUUUGCAUGCCACAAUAGAGUAUAUACAUUAUUAUAGUUUGCUAUUAAUAAACAGAUUGUUUUGGGUUUACCCAACUAGGUAUAUUAAAUUUAGGAGAAACUUUUUCAUAUAAUUCUAAGUUAUAGUUAGUUGAGGCACAUAGUAGAAAUAGUCCUGCUAGCAUUUGAAAACUCAGGUACAUACAUGUAGCUAUGUAUGUAGUGACAGCAAGUGACUUAAGUGUUAUGGACACUGGAGAAAUUAAGGAGUUCCUGCUUUGUUUAACAGGGACAAUGUCUUAGCUUUAGCUGAUGGUUAAAAUUUAGUAGUGUGGGCACCAUCUUACCAGAGCUUCUGAUUUUUUUCAAGAGAAACUGGAAAUCUAGAUGAGAAAUUUCUUGAUUUUUAACAGAUAUGCGAGCCAUACUGAACACAUUUGUGGGCUAAGUCAGCCUUGUAAAUUACCAUUUAACUGUCUUUUCAUAUUACUUUUGUGUAUUCCUUAAGGCUUUUAUUUGAUCAUUUUCAUUCUGUGUCUGCUUGUGGCACAGUGAAGUUUUUAUUUUUUUUCAAUUGUAUAUUAAGUUACCUGGAAAUGUAAAUAUUGAGUCUAGAACCUUAAAUCUUUCCUAACUAAAUGUGAUAUUUAAAACAUAUAGGUAAUGGACAGUAAGUCACUUUAAAUCUGUCAAAAUAAUGAUUUGAAUUAAAAUUU